rnacentral:rRNA from 1 species
GACAGCAGUCGCCACGGGAAUACGUAGGGUGCAAGCGUUAAUCGGAAUUACUGGGCGUAAAGCGUGCGCAGGCGGUUAUAUAAGACAGAUGUGAAAUCCCCGGGCUCAACCUGGGAACUGCAUUUGUGACUGUAUAGCUAGAGUACGGCAGAGGGGGAUGGAAUUCCGCGUGUAGCAGUGAAAUGCGUAGAUAUGCGGAGGAACACCGAUAGCGAAGGCAAUCCCCUGGGCCUGUACUGACGCUCAUGCACGAAAGCGUGGGGAGCAAACAGGAUUAGAUACCCCCGUAGUCCCUGUCUCUUAUAC